CGCUAUCACUCCUACGGGGAGCAGCAGUAGGAAUCUUCCACAAUGGACGAAAGUCUGAUGGAGCAACGCCGCGUGAACGAUGAAGGCCUUCGGGUCGUAAAGUUCUGUUGUAAGGGAAGAACAAGUGCCGCAGGCAAUGGCGGCACCUUGACGGUACCUUGCGAGAAAGCCACGGCUAACUACGUGCCAGCAGCCGCGGUAAUACGUAGGUGGCAAGCGUUGUCCGGAAUUAUUGGGCGUAAAGCGCGCGCAGGCGGCCUCUUAAGUCUGAUGUGAAAGCCCCGGCUCAACCGGGGAGGGCCAUUGGAAACUGGGAGGCUUGAGUAUAGGAGAGAAGAGUGGAAUUCCACGUGUAGCGGUGAAAUGCGUAGAGAUGUGGAGGAACACCAGUGGCGAAGGCGACUCUUUGGCCUAUAACUGACGCUGAGGCGCGAAAGCGUGGGGAGCAAACAGGAUUAGAUACCCUGGUAG
rnacentral:rRNA from 1 species